UACGUAGGGUGCGAGCGUUGUCCGGAAUUAUUGGGCGUAAAGGGCUCGUAGGCGGUUUGUCGCGUCGGGAGUGAAAUCAUCUGGCUUAACUGGGUGCUUGCUUUCGAUACGGGCAGACUAGAGGUAUGCAGGGGAGAACGGAAUUCCUGGUGUAGCGGUGAAAUGCGCAGAUAUCAGGAGGAACACCGGUGGCGAAGGCGGUUCUCUGGGCAUGAUCUGACGCUGAGACGCGAAAUCGUGGGGAGCAAACAGG
rnacentral:rRNA from 1 species